rnacentral:rRNA from 1 species
AGUGAACGCUGGCGGUAGGCCUAACACAUGCAAGUCGAACGGCAGCACAGUAAGAGCUUGCUCUUACGGGUGGCGCGUGGCGGACGGUUGAGGAAUACAUCGGAAUCUACUUUUUCGUGGGGGAUAACGUCGGGAAACUUACGCUAAUACCGCAUACGACCUACGGGUGAAAGCAGGGGAUCUUCGGACCUUGCGCGAUUGAAUGAGCCGAUGUCGGAUUAGCUAGUUGGCGGGGUAAAGGCCCACCAAGGCGACGAUCCGUAGCUGGUCUGAGAGGAUGAUCAGCCACACUGGAACUGAGACACGGUCCAGACUCCUACGGUAGGCAGCAGUGGAGAAUAUUGGACGAUGGGCGCAAGCCUGAUCCAGCCAUACCGCGUGGGGGAAGAAGGCCUUCGGGUUGUAAAGCCCUGUUGUUGGGAAAGAAAAGCAGCAGGUUAAUACCCCGCUGUUCUGACGGUACCCAAAGAAUAAGCACCGGCUAACUUCGUG